CCUACGGGGGGCUGCAGUGGGGAAUAUUGGACAAUGGGGGCAACCCUGAUCCAGCCAUGCCGCGUGUGUGAAGAAGGCCCUCGGGUUGUAAAGCACUUUCAGUGAGGAAGAACGCCUGGUGGUUAAUACCCAUCAGGAAAGACAUCACUCACAGAAGAAGCACCGGCUAACUCCGUGCCAGCAGCCGCGGUAAUACGGAGGGUGCGAGCGUUAAUCGGAAUUACUGGGCGUAAAGCGCGCGUAGGUGGCUUGAUAAGCCGGUUGUGAAAGCCCCGGGCUCAACCUGGGAACGGCAUCCGGAACUGUCAAGCUAGAGUGCAGGAGAGGAAGGUAGAAUUCCCGGUGUAGCGGUGAAAUGCGUAGAGAUCGGGAGGAAUACCAGUGGCGAAGGCGGCCUUCUGGACUGACACCGACACUGAGGUGCGAAAGCGUGGGUAGCAAACAGGAUUAGAUACCCGUGUAGUC
rnacentral:rRNA from 1 species